GAUGAACGCUGGCGGCGUGCCUAACACAUGCAAGUCGAACGAAGCACUUCGAUUUCUUCGGAAUGAAAAAGUGACUGAGUGGCGGACGGGUGAGUAACGCGUGGGUAACCUGCCUCAUACAGGGGGAUAACAGUUAGAAAUGGCUGCUAAUACCGCAUAAGCGCACAGUACCGCAUGGUACCGUGUGAAAAACUCCGGUGGUAUGAGAUGGACCCGCGUCUGAUUAGCUAGUUGGUAAGGUAAUGGCUUACCAAGGCGACGAUCAGUAGCCGGCCUGAGAGGGUGAUCGGCCACAUUGGGACUGAGACACGGCCCAAACUCCUACGGGAGCAGCAGUGGGGAAUA
rnacentral:rRNA from 1 species